UUCUUUUAAAAUUUUUUUGAACUGCAUUUUCAUCACUUGAAUUAGUAUUAACAUUAUGUAUAAACAAUUCAAAGUUGUCAGGUUAAAAACGACUCUCAAAGAUAUAUGGCUCCGAAAGACCGCAGGAUAAUUUCAAAUUCUUAAAUUCUUGAUUGGCACUUGAAAGAAAUGUUCUUAUAUAUGUUCAAUUGAGUAUGGAACCAAUGAUCUAGUCGUAAUGUUUCGAUGUUUAAAAAUAUCAUUUCUGAGUUUAAUGAAGUAUGCUGUCAAUGCAUUGUGAAAAUGUUAAAGCACUUUGAGAAAUUAAUUUGCUUCAAGCAAUUGGAAUUUGUUGUCGACGACAAUGUCUUCCCAACCACUUGACAACUGAUCUCGCAUUACAACGAAUUGACUUCCCUUAGCAUCUAAACAUCGCGAUAAAAUCAUUAUUUUCCAUACUCAAGCGAAAAUUUUGGCCACUUUACCAAAAACAGUUGGUUGUAUUCAAAAGAGUAAAAGCAUAUUCGAUUUACUUUGUCUUUGAGCCAUAUAUUUUCUUUGUAAAACAACCUGGUGUUAUACGCUUUCUCCGUCAAACUCGUAAAAUUUAUCAUUAGAGUUGUUUUACAAUAUUUAUUUUGAAGUAUAAACAUUUAUCUUGAAAAGACCAGGUUCUCUUGUUUCCUCAAGAAUUAACUUUUUUAAUGUUAAUUCGCGGGCAAACAAGUGCUUUAAUGUUGUGUUUUCACUUGUGCUUAUUCACUUGUGUUGAACACAAUAAUAAUUGUUCUCUUUGUGCCAUGUUCUGUUUUCUUCUAUUGUUAUUUAAAUAGGUGUGCAGUGGUUGUUCUCUUUUUAUUGUUAUUCAAUUUGUAAUUACAAUUCUUUUCAAUAAAUUGUUCAUUAAUUAUACAAGAGACUCCUUUUUAAUUAAAACUUCAAUUCCCAUGGGAAUUGAAAAAAAAAAUAAAAAAAAUUCCCCUACCCCGGCCGGCUCCCCAAGUGCCACCUCUACUUCAAGCAGAAGUACUUCUACUAUAUAGUAAAAGUACUUCUACUCAAAGUAGAGGUAGCACUCGGAGAGCCAGCCGGGGUAGCGGGGCGAAGAGAAGACCAACCUUGCAAAUGCAAAAUAAUGCAAAUUGCUAAGUCGAUCUUCUCUUGAGAGCAGCCACGCGCAUACCUAGCAAAUGUAAAACAACAAUCAUUAGUAACAAAUACUCGACAUGCAAAUUUUGAAUCCCAUGGCCGAAAUGACAAGUGCCCCCCACUGAUUCCUACCAACUGCCUACCUGCCUCAAUCCUAAGCUGUCUGCCUCAGUCCUAAGCUGUCUGCCUCGGUCCUAAGCUACCUGCAUUCCAUUCGUAACUUCCGCUUUCCUCACUAUCACACAGACACUCACAACUGCCCAACCUGCCACCAGCCCGAACUGCCCACCCUUAAAACUGAAGGAAUUAAAAUUUUGGUAGACAUAAUUAAUUUAAUUAAUCGGAUAUUUUAGGCCAAACGUAAACAGAUAAAUUAAAAGUUGACGAUCAGAAGAAAUACCGCGUAUACAAACAGGUGAGUUUCUUACUUGCCUCUAUACAUGAAAUUUCCAUAGAAAAAUAUACGAAACCUCGAAAUCCGGAUUUUUCCUUCUAUAUUCUUUACUAGCAGACUAUAAUUUUUGUUUUAAAAAGAACGAAACUCGACAAAUUUUGCUCAUGUUAGGAAAUUAAUCCUUUAGUUCACAAAAAAAUAUUUUCUCUUUAAAUAUUCUCUCAAAAUUUUAAUUCCUUUAGUUUAGCCUAACCCCAUGCAUCCUAUACACACGGCGCACACUCUCGCACUCCAUACAUUUAGCUAAUAAAUUACGUUAUAAACAAAAAAGCAAAAUAAAAAGAUAAAUUACGUUAUCACUAGCUAUCCUAUAACCCACUUAGACUGAGUUUUGGAUUCUGGUUCGAAACGUAAAAUCUUAACUGAAAGGGCUUGGGCUUGAGUUUUGUUAACUGGUCCGAAGUAAAUACAAACCUUAAAUUGAACUUGCCUCAACCAAAGGCUCGAUUAAAUGAG
rnacentral:lncRNA from 1 species